rnacentral:rRNA from 1 species
GAUGAACGCUGGCGGCGUGCCUAACACAUGCAAGUCGAACGAACAGACGAGGAGCUUGCUCCUUUGACGUUAGCGGCGGGCGGGUGAGUAACACGUGGAUAACCCACCUAUAAUUCUGGGAUAAUUUCGGGAAACCGGAGCAUAUACCGGAUAAUAUACUGAACCGCAUGGUGCAAUAGUGAAAGACGGCUUUGCUGUCUGUUAUAGAUGGUUCCGCGCCGGAUUAGCUAGUUGGUAGGGUAACGGCCUACCAAGGCGACGAUGCGUGGCCGAACUGAGAGGGUGAUCGGCCACACUGGAACUGAGACGCGAUCCAGACUCCUACGGGAGGCAGCAGUAGGGAAUGUUGGGCAAUGGGCGAAAGCCUGACGCAGCGGCGCCGCGUGAGUGAUAAAGGCCUUCGGAUCGUAAAGCUCUGUUAUGGGGGAUGAACAGAUGUGGAAUUAACCGUGGCCGGCUUGACGAUACCGAAUCAAAAAGCCACGGCUAACUACGUG